rnacentral:lncRNA from 1 species
GAAUUAAAAAUUCAGUUAGUCCAGUACCAAAGCACAGUGAGUUGCUUGCAAGUCACUGAGGCGAUCUCAGGUCUAAGGGACACUUAUAUCUAUAUCCCAUCAGAGACAUUCUCGAUAGCAGAAUGCUCUAGAGUUGAUCACGUUCAAUGAUGAUAUACCCUUACAUCUCACCUGUAUGCCAUACCAGUAUCUCCACACUCCUUGG